rnacentral:lncRNA from 1 species
GUGCUACAGCUACUCGUAGUGAGGCUGCUGAAGUUUGACUACAUAUAAACAUGGAUCUCAAUGAGCCCAUGUAGUGGAUGUUGGUGACAGUUGAUCCACUGUAGGAGUAGGGUGUAUAUCUAGAUGGGAUCUAUCAAUCCUAGCAGAAGGGAGUAGUCCUGUGAGAUUUAUAAAGCUGAGUCCUUAAGUCUAUGACCAUAGCAGUAUAAUUAAUGAAAAAGAAUUUUCAUAGGAAUCACAUAUGGACUCGAGCUAAUUAAAUCUAUCAUAUGAUUGAUGAUGAGGUUUGAUGAUUUAUUCAUGACCUGCCAUC